GCAUGGGUUUGGAUUUAUGGCAGACCCGUCCCUGUGGGCCACUCAUAGUGCCCCACGCCAGAGCAAACUGUGGCUCUGAACCAUUGCCUAGCCUCUGCCUAUAGGCUGUAGGCACUGAAGUGGGUUGCACAGUU
ensembl:snoRNA